rnacentral:rRNA from 1 species
UACGUAGGUGGCAAGCGUUGUCCGGAUUUACUGGGCGUAAAGAGCGCGUAGGCGGUCGUGCAAGUCGCGUGUGAAAGCCCCCGGCUCAACUGGGGAGGGUCACGCGAUACUGCUCGACUCGAAGGCAGGAGAGGGAAGUGGAAUUCCCGGUGUAGUGGUGAAAUGCGUAGAUAUCGGGAGGAACACCAGUGGCGAAGGCGACUUCCUGGCCUGUUCUUGACGCUGAGGCGCGAAAGCUAGGGUAGCAAACGGG